UCCGGAAUAGCCUUUCGAAAGAAAGAUUAAUACCGGAUAGCAUACGAAUAUCGCAUGAUAUUUUUAUUUAAAGAAUUUCGGUCAUCGAUGGGGAUGCGUUCCAUUAGGUUGUUGGCGGGGUAACGGCCCACCAAGCCUUCGAUGGAUAGGGGUUCUGAGAGGAAGGUCCCCCACAUUGGAACUGAGACACGGUCCAAACUCCUACGGGAGGCAGCAUG
rnacentral:rRNA from 1 species